UACGAACCGAGCGAACGUUGUUCGGAAUCACUGGGCUUAAAGGGCGCGUAGGCGGGCUGUCAAGUCUGGGGUGAAAUCCCACGGCUCAACCGUGGAACUGCCUUAGAUACUGACGGCCUCGAGGGAGAUAGGGGCGAGCGGAACUGUGAGUGGAGCGGUGAAAUGCGUUGAUAUUCACAGGAACUCCGGUGGCGAAGGCGGCUCGCUGGAUCUUUUCUGACGCUGAGGCGCGAAAGCUAGGGGAGCAAACGGG
rnacentral:rRNA from 1 species